GGGGGUGUAGCUCAGUGGUAGAGCAAGUGCUCUGCAUGUGUGAGGUCCUGGGUUCCAUCCCUGGCACAUUCA
rnacentral:tRNA from 1 species